UUACUUAUCUAUUUAUUUAUUCACCCAUAUGCAUGGGUGGUGUGUGUGUGUUCGCACAUGCACGUGACUGAGGACAACUUUCAGCUUUCGAGAGUUGGUUCUCUUCUUCUACUCCGUGGGUUCUAGGUGUCAAACUUGGUUGUAAGUUUGGCAGCAGGCACCCUUAUCUCUCUGCUGAGCCAUCUCACUGGCUCUAAAUUCCUUUUUAUUGCUGAGGAGUAUUCCAUUUCUUGAAAAUACUGUGAUUUGCCGUCCAUUCUUUUGUUGGUAGACCUCUUUGUUUCCAGUUUGAGGCGGUUAGAGAUUUUACUUUUAUGACCGUUUAUAUGGACGAUUCUGUUUUUCUUGGGCAUGCAUCUAGGAGUGGGCCACAGGUUGUGUGGUAGUUAUAUGUUCUGCUUUAUAAUGAGGGACUCUGGCGAUGGGGUGGAGGGUAAUGUUUUGGCUCUAGUAACUGACAAUAAGAUGUCUUGUACUGUGGGUAGGAUGUGAUAUGUCAAAAUUCAUAUCCUACCCAUAGUACAUGGCAUCUCAUUCUCAGUUCCUGGAGCCAGAACAUCGUCCUCCAGUGCAUCACCAACUACCAGCAAUCCUGUGCCCAAACUACCCCUUGAAAUAAGCCUCCUCCACCAUCCCCUGAUCAAAGGCAAGAACAGUUUGCCCAGACAUGCUUUCAAGUGUGUUUGUAUUGCAAGCAGCUUAGAUAAUGAAGACAGUGUCUCUAUGUGGAGCCUGUUUAUUUACAUUCUAUGUUAAUAAAGACAGUGUCUUCCCCAGAUCAGAGGUCACACAGCCUCUCAUAAAUACCUGGGCCUUCCCAGUGUUGGAACCCUUUUCCGUGGUGCAUCCUAAGGUGUUCUCAGGUACCACUUGGCCUUCGUCUUACCACCUGUGGAAUCUAGAGGUGGUCUCCGACUGCCUGCCAUUGAAUAGUGGGCAGCUUUUCUGUCUGCCCAGGAGUCUUGUGUCUUCUGGCAAUGUGUUGAGACUCUGGCAGUCCCGUCUGUCAGUUUGCUAGCAAGGUUAGUUCAAAUGUCACACACACAGUUCUUGACAGUGCCUGUGAGCUACCAUGCACAGCUGGCUGUGUUACCUCCUCCCCACCGCCCUGCUGCUCUUGAUGAGCAUUCUAGCAGAUGGCAGGCCCAGGGGCAGGAGAUAGAGAGGUGGGGGGUGUGUUCCAGCCUCACAGAGCGGGGCACCUGCUGGGUAGCCUCUGCUGUCCUCAUUCACCAAGCUGUGACUCACUGACUUGCCCAGUCUUCCUGAGUUGUGUCAGUUUCUUUCCCUGUGUGGGAAGCACACUUUUAGAUGGUCAGAGUAAGCACACUGAAGUGCUUCAUGUGCCCCAGGCAAAUAGCAGCUGCCAUGUGGUGAUUGUGUGGCCACUGUUUCCCAUUAUCAGCCACGGUAAGUUCUGGUCGUCUGCUGUGCCAAGUCUUGUGCCCACACCAACUCAGGGUGGAAGUGGGAGUAAGUAGCUGAACCCGGCAAGUUCCUUGGUGGGUUGUUACUGUGUGAUGCAUGUUUUACCCACUUGCGAGUUUGCCAGUCACCCAUGAGAUUGGAGACAAGUGUUUCAGCCUGCAGAGGUCUGAUAAUGCCCAGUUGAAGGGCCAGGCUAUUUACCAUGAUCCGGGGAACCUCUUUAAAGGUCCUGAGCUGUUGGCCUCCCCUCCUGGUUGACUCCCCAUUGGUGAGCAGGCUCAGCUACCUGCAAUUUGUGCCUCACACGUUGGUACCCCAGAGUUGUCUUUCUGGCUUCUGUGCAACUAUUAAAAGUGAAAAUUUUGAGUGGUGUCUCAACUGCCAGAGCAAUGGGCAUACAGGGUCAAUGCCAAGGUACUGCAUCCCCCUGGAUUGAGGGACGGGACCUGGAAACAAACUGCCACAGGGCCUGCCUAGUGUUAGUCUGUAACUGUGCCUACAGCGUCACAGGGAAGAGCCUCCAACCCUAGACCUGCCAAGAGGCAUCCAGAGGGCUGAAGCUGCCGCUUCCACAGCCGUGUUUGUAUGUGGCACCAGGCCCCAGCUGCCUACCUCCUCGCCUCCCUCUGCUUGCCGGGCAUCCAGGCCCACAGCAAAUAACGUCUGUUUUGUGGCUUUCACUUGUGAACAUAUUGUUUAGUUCUGUAGAGAUUUUUUUCAUGUGUCAUUUUGGGUUGUGUUUUCAAAACUAAUUAGUAAAUUGGCUCAUGUUUAUAGGCUCUGACAGUCACCCUCUGUGCUGUGGCUGCACCGGGGUUAGCAGAACUUCACCCCUUGUGCUGAAUGCUGGAGGUUUUGUUCCAGCCGUUUUUACCGUUGUUUUAUAGGUGGUGCUGCCACAGUCAUCUUAGGUACAUAAUAUUUAGCUUCUAUGUGGUUAUUUUCCUAGGCUUGAUUCCACGUCUGGAAUUAACUAGCCAAGACUAAGAACAGCUUUUCUUUUUUAAUUAAAAAUUUCUUAUAGUUUUGGAAAAUAGAAAUAAAGAUGAGCCGUGGGCCCCAGGCAGUGUGUCAGCCAGGAUCUCACUGGGCUGCAAACAGCAGGAACCCUGGGAACCAGGGAGUUUAAGGAGAGUCUGGGCCAGUCUCAGAGUGAUGCUGGCCAUGCCACUGGAGAGCCUGGCCACAGGCCGCUUCCUGCCCCGUGCCUUUGCCCUUCAGUGGUGGUUGUCCUUCCUCUGCUAAUCUUACUCCCUUGACAGCUCCCGCUUCAGCUGAGUCAUUUCUGCUCCUUUGUGAUACUCAGAGCCCCCUGCACGGGGGCCAUUGCGGAUACUUACUUUUCCUGUGUUCCUUCAGUCUCCAGCUGCCUGUUUGAUGGCACUCCAUCUGGCCAAGGCAGAAACUUGCCGGAGUCCUGAUGGAGCCGCAGAAGAGCCCAGCUCAUUCUUGUUUAAGGGGGAGCCAGGAAGAGAACAGAGGCUUCCAGGCUUGGUGGUCCCCCUGGCUGGGCUUGCAAGGAAGUUUGUUGAGCUCCCACUGGGUGUGGUGGGGAGUUAGGAGCCGCAGCCUGGGCACAGCCUCAGCCUGGGCUCACAGAAGAGGGGAGGAAACUGAAGCUUUCUAAAUGGCCACACUGCUCCCAUGUAGACCAAACUGGGUUUGACUGAUAGAAAUGAGUGCUUUGUGACCUAUUUUAAUUCUAUAGAAAAGCGUGAGAAGCAGCUCUCCCUCAUGCCCACCACCAGGUUUCACAAUUGUGAGCGUUUGCCGUAUCUACGUCGGACCGACCCUCUUUUUGUUUUGUAAGGAAUAAGAUAGGGGUAAGAUAGCUGAAGACCUUCCUCCUUCCCUUCCCGGGUAUGGCACUGUCCUGCCUUUGGUGGGUGUGCGAAUGUUUCCUGUAUGUGUUUAUCCAUAAGCAAUACUGUUUUUGUACUUUUUAAUUUAAAAACACUUCCAUUUAUUUGUUUAUUUGUGUUUGUGGUAUGUGGGUGCCAUGUCCUGUAUAUGUGCAGGUCAGAGGACAACUUUCUGGAGUCGUUUCUUCCUUCCGUAGUGUGGGUCCCAGAGCUGAAGCUCAAGUUGUCGGGUCUGGCGCAGUCACCUUUACCCACUGAGCCAUCCUGCUGGCCAUGGUUUUAGUUUUGCAUGGAAAAUUUUUAAGAUUUACAUUUAAAAUUUUAAGAUCCAUAAAAAUGUUAUCACACUUUGUGUCCUUUUUCAAUUUAUAAAACAUUAAGCUUUAUGGUUUUUUUUUGCUUGCUAUCUAGCCAUCCAUCCAUAUCCAUCCACUUACCCAUUCUACCUACCAAUCCACUCAUCUACUUCAUUCAUUUUACAAAGAUUUUUUAAAACAAUUUUUACUUAUGUGUAUGUGGAGGUGGGUGGGUAUAUGUGCUUGAGCUGGGUGCCUGCAGAGGUCUGAGGCAUCUGAUCCCCUGGAGUAACCUGAGGUGGGUCCUGGGAACUGAACUUGUGUCCCCCGCAAGAGCUUUUAACCACUGAGCCAUCUCUCUGUCCCCUACUUCAUUCAUUUUUUAUUCCUGUGUCGCAUUCCUCUGUGUGGAUAAAUGAGUUUAAGUAUUUUAUUUCUUUAUUUACUUUGUGUCUUGCCAAUAAAAUUGUGGUGAACGUGUGUUCUGGCUGUCUGUUUCAGUAUAGUAACCUCUGAACUUGGUGUUUUUUAUACGUGUAAAGCAGUAGUCUGUCUGACUUGGUACUGUGUAGGGCAGCCAGAAGGCUGGGUCUGGUCUCACCUGCAGGCUCAUUUACCUGGUGUCCGAUGAGUGAUACUGUCUGUCAACUGGGAGCCCAGCCUGCGCGCUCCUUGUGACCUGGGCUUCCUCCAGUAGCUGGGCUCUAGGGUUCAGUGUCAUGAAAGAGUCAGUGAUCCAGGCUGUAACUUCGGACUUCACUGUCAAGUGUGUUCUUUUCUCCAGGUUCUGUUCUUCAGAAGCCAGUCCAUAAAGCCGGGUUCCAUUCAGGGCAAGAGCAGUCAGAUUUCGUCUUGAAUGGGGUGUCACUGGUUUGUAAGAUCAGCAUCCUUAGGUCUGCCUCCUUGUAUACAGCAGGAGAGUUUCUGUGGCUUGGGCCCCUCACAGUGCACAGGUGGGUCUUGGCAUGGGCUCCCUUUGGACCCACUGGGUGUUGCUGAAUUGUUCCUCCGCACGUUUGUUUCCUGACACCCACCCGUGUACUGACAGCUCCAUGCCUUCACACCCCCUCUAACUCGUGCUGUUUGGAUUUUGAGUUUUGCCCCUCUGGUGGGUGUGGGAUCAGGUCUUGUUGUUUUAUUUGUCUGCCCACUGGUGAGGCUGAACCCUGGGGGCCUUGUGGGGAUUGUUUUGUGUUCCUUUCCCAGCUGGUUGCCUUGAAGAAGACAAUUCGUCAAAGUGCUAUUUUUUGGCUUAUGAUGUCAAUCUUUCAAAAGAGAGUGGUGAGUUUCCCACAGAGUUUAUUGCAAACUACUGUGAAGAUCUUGGAGUUACUAUUGGCAUGACUCAUUUAUGAAAAGAAGGAUCCCAGUAACUGCAGGCUGCAUUUAUAAUGCCAUAGAUUUCUAUUUAAUCUCUCACCUCUCUGUAAUUUCCCCCGAUUUAAAAAUGCCCUGAGGCUUGCUUUCUCUUCGUCUGAGAGCCCUGUUCUUAGUAUGUUGAACCACAAUAAUAGACGUAAGAAAUAGUGCCAAUAGGUGUUUCCUAGCUCUUGCUGUCUUUGUGAACUUUAGAAAUUCUUUAAAAGUUUUAAUUUUUGUUUUGCAUGUAUAUGUGCAUGUGAGCAUGCACCAUGGGUCACUGUUGGGCAUCCUCUGUUGUUGCUUUGUUACCCUAUUUUUGAGACUAGGUCUCUCACUGAGCCUAGAGCUCCCAUUUUGGCUAGAUUUGCUGGUCAUUGAGCCCCUGGAAUUUGCCUGUCUCUCCCUUCCUCCAGCACUGGGAUCACAGUUGUGUGCUGCCACACCCCACCUUUCCUUGGGUGUUGGGGAUCUGAACUCAGCUCUCCAUGCUUGUGCAGCAAGCUUUUGCUUACCAGGCCAUCCCCCAGUUCUUCUGUGGACAUUUUGUUACUUCUGGUACCUAGUUCCCUUACUGUGAUCUGUGUCCUGAUGGUCUAUAUAAAACCUUUGGAGGAAACUGGAAGCCAGGGUUCCUGCUUGGGAUUCCCCGUGGACUGCACAGUACCUAGUUCUUCAGGUACACUUUUAAAAGUGGUACUGUGAGGCCACAGGAACCUGGCAUGGGGGUGGUAUUCAGGAAAUCUGCUUUUACCCAAAUAAAGAGGAAUGCUGAGUUAUUAUAAUUACCAGUCUGAUCUACUAACUUCUCUCAGAAACAUCUGGAAAAUUGCUGUUUGACCAGGAGUUCUUUGAUAACUUUCUUAGCUGUCCUUGAAGAGUGAGGUUGGAGUUACUUUUUAAGUUCAGAUAGUUUUGUCUGUACACUCAGAACUCCACCUGUGGCUCACUGGAGACCAUUGCCUGCUCUGCUUUCCUCCUAAGGGCUGCUGGUAUCUUACAGUGUUGGGGCCUAGAGUCUGGCUGCGGAAAUGAGAGGUACACAGAAGCAGAGCUGCGGCUCAGGAGUAGCCUGCUGCUCCUGUCGCAUCACGCUGUGAGCCGUGUGUGUUAAGCCAUCUGUCUUAGGUGGUUUGGAUGCAGUGUGCCUUGUGGACAUGGAAGCCCUAUCCAGAGCUAGUGAGAGGGCACAGGCCUCUGCAGGAACUGUAGAUGGAGCAACUCCCUGGAUAGGCUCCGUGCUGGUCCCUGGGAGGCUGAGCAGUGUCUGCUGCCAUGGAAUGGGGAAAGCCAGGUGUGUCACCAGCCAUCUCAUGGGGCUCUCCCUCUACCAACUUAGUAUAAACAAGGGGUUGUCUGUGUGUGUGUGUGUGUGUGUGUGUG